rnacentral:tRNA from 1 species
UCUGGACGCGCCUAAUGGGGAGGCACCGGGCUGUUAACCCGGCGAUAGAAAUAUCCGACACGGUUCGAUUCCGUGGUCCAGAG